rnacentral:tRNA from 1 species
AGUUGAUGAGCUUGAAUUAAGCAUAUGUUUUGAAAACAUAAUAUAGAAAUUAAAAUUUUCUAUUAACUU